UGCAGAGACACGCAGAUGGUUGAGAAACAACACCGCGUGGUACAGUAGAUGUUGACCGGAGACGCGGCGAGAAAAAUCACACCACAAUGUGAAGUGGUUCUGAAGAAGCAAAUGAACUGGCAGAGAGAGGAAGUAAUAGUUCAGUCUGCUUUCACUUCAGUUUGUGUCGAUUUCCAUACAAUUAACCAUUGGCAUGUGUCAAAUAAAAAAUAAUUAAUAAAAUUUAAAAAUAAAGUAAAACACAUCAGGCUAAUUUCUUACUAUGUUAACAUUGAUGAGCUAUAUAGUUUCAAGAUAGUGGGUAGGUCAAAGAAGGUGAAUGCGUUGAAGAAAAACUUCUCAUAGGAAGCCUAAAUCCCAAAGCUCUUAUCUUGUCUGUUUCCCUUUACAAAGCAGAUAAGUGAGCGGUACCAGCCACUGAGAAUCAGGUCAAGAGGUGGUCUGUAUUUACCUCCUGUGCCCUUGGUGCCAGCACAGAAACAAGACGGGAUGGGUUGUGACACACUCACUGACCUGAGACCUUUUUCCAGCAGCAUGACUCAAGGCCCCUACGACUCAGCAGCCACAUGCGGCAGAUGUCACGAGGACCAGUCAGACUUUACAGUAACUCGGACCAUGGCGGAGACACAAGUCGACGAGCACUUUUCACCUCUGAUUCAAGGCUUUCUUCGAUCCAUCAAGAGAUGGGUUUGUAAGUGAAGCAAUGCUCGGUUUUGUUCCGACUGCAGUGAAGUGGAGUAGCCCAAAGCGCUACUGGAAAAGGAGGCAGCCGCCGCACAUUUGCAAUUAGGGCAGACACACAAGAGAACAAGGAGGAGACUGCUCAACCGUCCCAGAAACUACUGGAGCCUAAUGUAAGCCGGCUGUCAAUGAAAGCUUUCAUUGUACAAUCUUCCAUCCCAACUGGUCAUUUAACACAGAAUUCAGGCCUGAAGCUGUUUAGUUGGAGCCAGUUCGCCCUGUCAGACCGUUUUAUUCAAAAACACACCGACAUCCUACCAACUGGCUGCUGGAAAAAAAUACUCCAGCUAUUUCCAUCGCCAUGAGGGGCGAGGUCUUAACAAACACGGGUCUUCGACAUGAGUCAUUAGCAUCCAAAGUCUGAAAUAGCAAAACACAUUACAAUCAUUAACUGUCCUAAAAAGGCUCUAUUGUCAUGUGGAUGAUAAUGUUUAAUCUUCUGAAGCCCAGACAUACAAUGUUGACGAGUUUACCAUAUUUUGAUUGAGAGAACUGAAUGAUUACUACAUCGGAGAACACCCGGUCAAAGGCUAAACGUGAUUGCACAUGAAACACACGUAAAUACGUGCAUGCAUAUAAAGUUGUCAUAGCUUUGCGGUCAAAAGCCAGCUCAGCGUGUAUUUCUACACAAUUCUUAAUAUGAUCUGCAAGCGCCACAGUGACCACAGAGCCGCCAAACAAAAUAAGCCGACACAGUGAGAACACUUCCCAGACAACCAAACACACUUCUCAUUGCCACUGAAUCGCACCUUUGCUCUACCAGCAGGAAGUGGAGAGUGUUGAGCAAUUCCUGCUGCGACAGCACAUUUUGUAUUCAAUGUAAAAUCAGUGUCCGAUGCAUUUAAGUACCGUAGACAUUCUCUUUCUGGGCUGAGGGCGACUUUCAAGCUGACAUGUCAAAACGGUUUGUCGUUUAAAAGGCUGUUACACUAAAUUAUUGUCUUGGGAUGCUGCCCCUGUAAUCACACAGAAAUAUCUCAAAUCAACAGCAAGCAAAUGCUAAACAGUCUUCAAUGAAUGAUCUUCACAUGAGAUUUUGGACAAAGCUAGAACACCUUUUUGGAUGAAACCACCUGUGCUAACUAACCACUGGUCUGCCAAAUAUUAAGCAAUCAUUUGAAAAUAUCUAGCUCGACCACAGUACUCAUGACAAUCGACUGAGAGGAAAUGCCCACUGCACCACCCAGCAUCUGUUCCAGGGCAGGAUAGCGGUCAGGGGAGCGCCUGCGAGUCCGCUGACAGCCAAAGUGUCCCUGUGCACAUGAGCCCAGCCCAGCGCAAGUCAACGUGUCGUGCCCGCAUGACCCAAAAAGGGUGUCGUCGGGACUGGGCGGCUAAGGGAAGAGGAGAUAAGGGCGAGGAACUGGAGAGUGCUACUUCUGUCGGACGCCAAAGUCCCAUUCAAAGACAACAUACAUGCUUCAAUGGAGACAAGAGGGCUCCUAACACUUUCUGACUGAGUGCCCACAACAGAUGAGAAUGCAAAAGGCGCAUGCACGCAAAGGACACACAAUGCUGGGAAAAGCAGCACUUGUGCCUUCUUACUGUUCGAUCGACAUGUUAGAAACGCUUAACGGCGCCUGGAUUCGGAGAAGAUGGCUGCAAAGGAUGCUGCUCUGUUACUAUACAUUCACUUCAUUUUUAAUGCCGAUACCUCAACUUUUAAAGCCUCAGGAAAUCCCAUCGACAUCUCGAAAAGGAGGACUCAAAUUCAGUUGAUCUAGGGUCACACUGGCCCCAAAAAAACUACAAUGUUACAAGCCAACGGCGUGGCAGCCCAAUGAAGCUGUGCAACUACAUCCCACUUCAGUGUUGUUUGCUUUAAAGCUUGCAUGUUAGUGCAUUCUUCACUGUGUGUGCAGCCCGGUCCACAUCACCACCGGCAACGCUGACCAAAAUGGCUUCUUCCUCUUGACUCAGCCAAGUAAUGAGGAGGCAAAAAAGCCACUGGAAUGAUGUUCAUGAGCUCAAAAUUACAGGGAGUGGACAAAAUAAUAAAAAUAAACACCUUCACAAUCA